ensembl:lncRNA
UUUGGGAUUUCCACAUUAGCUGCCCUCUCUCCUUGCUCAGCACUGUGCAAUAAUAAAAUUCCUACUUUCUUCCACUACACCCGAUGUUGGAGAUUGGCUUGCUGCACAAGGGGUGAGCGAACUCACUUCAGGUUCAUUAUCAUCAGGAUACAAGGUUUUCUGACGAAGAACCAGGAAAGCCGGUGGUGUAAUUCAGUCUAAGUCUGAAGGCAUGAGAACUGGGAGAGUUGAUGGGGAUUACCAUGUGAUGGCAAUUUCCACCUUGAAUCAGAGCGGUAGGAAAACUAACAAAGGAAGAAUCACGAAGGGCAUCUGCUGAUGACAGCAAAGGCUAUGGAGGGGCUGGAAUGGAAAAUUCUGGGAACAAGACUGAAGUUUCCCUUAAAAGCUACACAGCACUUUUUGCAUGGAUCUCUUAACAGUUUUUCCUUCUCCGUCUAACAGUAGAUGGCAAUGAUCUAGAAUGUAGGACUGCAGUAAGCAAUUUUAGGUGAACUAAUGGUAAAAAAUAACCUGAGAGUUUGCAUAUGUUGCCACAAUUUAUAUACAACCAAGAAAUUUUAUGGUACAGCAUUAAAUAAGAAUAGCUUAGCUAGAUAAUGUCUAUAAGCGAUGACCUUCCACUGCCCUCAUGUGUUCACAGUAGCAGCAGAUGCCUUGAUAACUACCAGGAUUGAUUCAUGCCAAUCUCUCCUAUUACAGUUGCUCUCAAAGGCUUUUCUAUUGCUGCAGUAAGUGCCAACGCAGCUAUAAUGCUCUGCUUUAAUUAAGUUCUUUCAACUAUAAUCUAAAUCCUACAUGCUUCAUGCCAAUUGUCAUAACUACGAGCUUUAAUCUGACAUUUCAAAAAACGGAAUUUCAAAUAUCAAAUAUGCAUUCCAUAUUUCUCUCCCUACAAAAACAUUCAAACUGUGCCAAUAUUGGGUUUCAGGAUUAUUUAUUUGAUCAAAAAUUUAUUAAUAAGCUGGUAAAAAAAAAACCCUCUAAAGUUAUUUUUGGAAAGAUUGGGGAAAUGUUAGUUAUGGACUGGGUGUUAGAUGAUAUUAGGAAACUAUGCUAUUUUUCUUAGGUGUAAUAAUGCUCUUGCAGUUUGUACGGAAAAGUCUUUACUUUUAGGAAAUACUAAUUGAACUGUUUAUAGAUAAAGUGUCAUGACAUCUCCAAGUUACUUGUUAAUAGGUCCAAUCAAAAAAUAAAUACACAAAAUUAUAGAUGACAAUAAAGAUUAAACAAAUAUCAAAAUUAUUGAAUGUAGGUUGUGGAUAUAUGUGCUAUUUAUAUCAAUUUUGCAUCUUUUUGGCAUAUUUGCAUAUUUUCAUAAUAAAAUGCUAAAAAACUUAAUCCUAUACUACAUGCCAAAGACAGAGGCACUGAGGUUGCAAAGAAAAAUAAAAGCAAGUCCCUGACUUCAUAGUCCAAUAGCUAAUUAAAGGGAUGUAAAUACAUAUAAUUAUUGUAAUUUGUAAUGGAUAUAGUACUAGAGGUAGGUAGCAAGAUACUUGACAGAAGAUGAAGAAAAUAAUUCUGCCUACAGACGUCAAGCAAACGUUUCCACGGGGACUGAUGCGUGCAUAGGGGCUCAAAAAAUACACAAGCAGGGGCCUGGCCCAGUGGUGUAGUGGUUAAGUUCACACACACUGCUUCGGGAGUCUGGGAUUCACGGGUUCAGAUCCUGGGCAAGGACCUACGCACCGCUCAUCAAGCCAUGCUGAGACAGCGUCCCACAUACAAAAUGAAGGAAGACUGGCACAGAUUUUAGCUCAGCGACAAUCUUUCUCAAGCAAAAAGAGGAGGAUUUCCAACAAAUGUUAGCUCAGGGCCAAUCUUCCUCACCAAAACAAAAGAAAAAAGAAAACACGAGCAGGGAGGGUACUGUUGGCAGAGUCAAGUGAUGAGUAUCCCUGUAGAAGCCUGAAACAGCACGAAAGAGUUGGGGAAGAGCACACUCAGGUGACUUGGCCGCUAAGGAUAAUGUGGAAAGAGUGGAAGAAGAGUCUGGAAAGCCUCACUGACUGGGGAUCUAGAAAGAAGAAGAGUACAUGCUGCUAAAGAGUUGCAACAUUUUUCUGGAGACAAUGUGAAGCCUUAAAAAUCAAAAACUUCUUGUCAGCUAGACAUAUACAGAUAUCGAAUGAUUAUGUUGUACAACUGAAACUAACAUAAUGUUAUAUGCCAAUUACAUCUCAAUAAAAGCAAUGGUAAUGAAGGGGAUGGCAUGCUCAUUGAUCCAUGACUUUCCAACAGAGUAGUUAUUCAAACUUGUGGGUCAAAAUGACUUCCUGGUCAGUAUCAUAUAGAAAUGACCUUAAAGUUUCCCAACAAUUCGAAGAAAAUCAUGGUUGAUUUUUUUUUUGAGCAUGAUUAGCCCUGAGCUAACAUCUGCUGCCAAUCCUCCUCUUUUUGCUGAGGAAAACUGCCCUGAGCUAAUGUCUAUGCCCAUCUUCCUCUACUUUAUAUGUGGGACGCCUACCACAGCAUGGCUUGCUGAGCAGUGCCACGUCCGCACCCAAGAUCCGAACCACCGAACCCCGGCUGCUGAAUUGGAACGUGCACACUUAACCACUGUGCCACUGAGCCAGCCCAUGGUUGAUUUUUUUGAUUAAA